rnacentral:rRNA from 1 species
AUUGAACGCUAGCGGGAUGCCUUACACAUGCAAGUCGAACGGCAGCACGAACUUCGGUCUGGUGGCGAGUGGCGAACGGGUGAGUAAUGUAUCGGAACGUGCCCAGUAGCGGGGGAUAACUACUCGAAAGAGUAGCUAAUACCGCAUACGCCCUACGGGGGAAAGGGGGGGAUCGCAAGACCUCUCACUAUUGGAGCGGCCGAUAUCGGAUUAGCUAGUUGGUGGGGUAAAGGCCCACCAAGGCGACGAUCCGUAGCUGGUUUGAGAGGACGACCAGCCACACUGGGACUGAGACACGGCCCAGACUCCUGCGGGAGGCAGCAGUGGGGAAUUUUGGACAAUGGGGGCAACCCUGAUCCAGCCAUUCCGCGUGCAGGAUGAAGGCCCUCGGGUUGUAAACUGCUUUUGUACAGAACGAAAAGGCUCUGGUUAAUACCUGGAGCUCAUGACGGUACUGUAAGAAUAAGCACCGGCUAACUACGUGCCAGCCGCCGCCGUAA